AUGAACAAGCCUGAUUAUCAUAGGGAGCGUGAGCAGGAUCCUUAUGUUUGUUGUCAGGAACCCAAUGUUCGUCCUCGCUUUUGGAAUAAUUUCCAGCAUCGGGUAUAUGAGGAGAUCCUCAAAGCCAAGAAGGACAAGCUUGCUCCGCACAAGAGUUUGGAUCUUGACUAUGUGUGUCGCGCCACCACCAAGCAUUAUGCUGAUGUGCACAAGACUCUCACCAAGAUGUGUCACAUUCCGUUCCUCAAGUUCAAUAAGUCUUACAAUGAGGACGAAAGUGCCUUUCUGCUCCCGAGUUCAUUUGAGCUCGGUGAACAGUAA
rnacentral:rRNA from 1 species